GGGGUGCCUGGGUGACUCAGUUGGUUAAGCAUCCAAUUCUUGGUUUCAGCUCAGGUCAUGAUCUUACAGUUAAUGAGAUGGAGCCCUCACAGGCCUCUGUGGAGACUGGCAGAGCCUGCUUGGGAUUC